GUUCAUGACUGGGGUGAAGUCGUAACAAGGUAGCCGUAGGGGAACCUGCGGCUGGAUCACCUCCUUA
rnacentral:ncRNA from 1 species